rnacentral:rRNA from 1 species
UCGGGAAUUUUGGGCAAUGGGCGAAAGCCUGACCCAGCAACGCCGCGUGAGGGAUGAAGUAUUUCGGUAUGUAAACCUCGAAAGAAUGGGAAGAAUAAAUGACGGUACCAUUUAUAAGCUCCGGCUAACUACGUGCCAGCAGCCGCGGUAAUACGUAGGGAGCAAGCGUUGUUCGGAUUUACUGGGCGUAACGGGCGCGUAGGCGGCGCGGUAAGUCACUGGUGAAAUCUCUGAGCUUAACUCAGAACGGCCAAGUGAUACUGCUGUGCUAGAGUGCAGAAGAGGCAACCGGAAUUCUGGGUGUAGCGGUGAAAUGCGUAGAUAUCAAGAGGAACACCUGAGGCGAAGGCGGGUGGCUGGGCCGACACUGACGCUGAUGCGC